rnacentral:ncRNA from 1 species
UAUAAGACGAGAAGACCCUGUGGAGCUUAAAAUUACAACUUAAAUAAAUAUACUUUAUUCUCCUAAGGGUUCAAACUUAUAGAAACCUUAAGUUGAAUUUUUGGCUGGGGUGACCUCGGAGCACAAGAAAACCUCCGAAUGACAUAACUAAGAUUAACCAAUCCAAGUGCCAUAAGCCAGUAAUUGAACCAAAUUUUGAUCAACAGAACAAGUUACCCCAGGGCUAACAGCGCAAUCCUAUUUAAGAGCCCAUAUCGACAAUUAGGAUUUACGACCUCGACGUUGGAUCACGACACCCAAAUCGUGCAGCCGCUAUUAAAGGUUCGUUUGUUCAAUGAUUAAAGUCCUUCGUGAUCUGAGUUCAGACUGGAGAAAUCCAGGUCGGUUUCUAUCUAUA